CUUUCUCGGAAGCUCAAAAUAAAAGCGAGAUGAAUCGAACGUUGGAUGAUCUAAGACAAUCGUUAUCGACGUCACUGAUUUCAAGUGGGUUAAGUUCCUUAACUAAACUAAGGAUACAUGACUUCAUCUUCGAUGUAUUGGUCAGCCACCUACAUUUUUCUUUCUACAUCGUCGUGACUGAAGACGUUCAAGUCCCUGGCGCCAUCAAGGC